rnacentral:rRNA from 1 species
AGCAGUAGCCGCGGGAAUACGUAGGUGGCGAGCGUUGUCCGGAAUCAUUGGGCGUAGAGGGAGCGCAGGCGGGCAUGUAAGUCUUUCUUAAAAGUUCGGGGCUCAACCCCGUGAUGGGAAAGAAACUACAUGUCUUGAGUACAGGAGAGGAAAGCGGAAUUCCCAGUGUAGCGGUGAAAUGCGUAGAUAUUGGGAGGAACACCAGUGGCGAAGGCGGCUUUCUGGACUGCAACUGAUGCUGAGGCUCGAAAGCCAGGGGAGCGAACGGGAUUAGAUACCCCCGUAGUCCCUGUCUCUUAUACA